rnacentral:rRNA from 1 species
UAGGGAAUCUUCCACAAUGGACGCAAGUCUGAUGGAGCAACGCCGCGUGAGUGAAGAAGGUUUUCGGAUCGUAAAGCUCUGUUGUUGUUGAAGAAGGAUAGAGGCAGUAACUGGUCUUUAUUUGACGGUAAUCAACCAGAAAGUCACGGCUAACUACGUGCCAGCAGCCGCGGUAAUACGUAGGUGGCAAGCGUUGUCCGGAUUUAUUGGGCGUAAAGCGAGCGCAGGCGGAAUGAUAAGUCUGAUGUGAAAGCCCACGGCUCAACCGUGGAACUGCAUCGGAAACUGUCAUUCUUGAGUGCAGAAGAGGAGAGUGGAAUUCCAUGUGUAGCGGUGGAAUGCGUAGAUAUAUGGAAGAACACCAGUGGCGAAGGCGGCUCUCUGGUCUGCAACUGACGCUGAGGCUCGAAAGCAUGGGUAGCGAACAGG